rnacentral:rRNA from 1 species
AUUGAACGCUGGCGGCAGGCCUAACCCAUGCAAGUCGAACGAGUGGCGGACGGGUGAGUAAUGUCUGGGAAACUGCCCGAUGGAGGGGGAUAACUACUGGAAACGGUAGCUAAUACCGCGUACCAUCGGAUGUGCCCAGAUGUGAUUAGCUUGUAGGUGAGGUAACGGCUCACCUAGGCGACGCUCCCUAGCGGGUCUGAGAGGAUGACCCGUAAAACGGGAAAUGAGAAACGGUGCAGAGGCCUACUGGAGGCAGCAGUGGGGAAUAUGGCACAAUGGGCGCAAGACUGAUGAAGCCAUGCCGCGUGUAUGAAGAAGGACUUCGGUUUGUAAAGUAAUUUCAGAGGGGAGGCGUUACCCGCAGAAGAAGCAACGGCUAAAUCCGUGCCAGCAGACGCGGUAAGAC